AACGCACGAGACCUGCGGACCUGCGGAGGGAUCAUUAAUGAGAAGCUGCCCCUCGUGGGUAGACCUCCCACCCUCUGUGAACUUACCUUUGUUGCUUUGGCAGGCCCGUCCUCUGGACCGCCGGCUUCGGCUGGCCCGUGCCUGCCAGAGGAUUCCAAACCCUGUCUGUCAGUGUUGUCAGAGUCUAUAUGAAAUCGUUAAAACUUUCAACAACGGAUCUCUAGAUCGGAAGAGCACACG
rnacentral:misc_RNA from 1 species